ACUCAAAUGAAUUGACGGGGGUCUAUACAAGUGGUGGAACAUGUGGUUUAAUGCGAUAAUACGCGCCCAACCUUACCAGUUCUUGAAUGAGUGCAGCUUUAUAGGCUGCACAACAGGUGUUGCAUGGCUGUCGUCAGCUCGUGUUGUAAGAUGUUUGGUUAAGUCCCUUAACGAGCGCAACCUCUAUAUGCAUUUAAAUAGGUCUACCUAUAACUGCUUAAACUGCCCACAAUAAAUGGGAGGAAGGUGGAGAUGACGCCAAGUCCUUAUGGCCCCUAUGAACUGGGCUACACACGUGUUACAAUGGGAAAAACAAAAAGAAACGUCGAAAGAAGUCAAUCAUUUAACUUUUUCCAAGGUUCGGAUUGAAUGCUGCAACUUGCAUUCAUGAAGGUGGAAUCACAUGUAAUCGUGGAUCAGGAUGCCACGGUGAAUUUGUACCUGGACCUUGCACACACCGCCCGU
rnacentral:rRNA from 1 species